rnacentral:tRNA from 1 species
GGAGAGGUGGCAGAGUGGUCGAAUGUACCUGACUCGAAAUCAGGCGUACCGCAAGGUACCGAGGGUUCGAAUCCCUCCCUCUCCGCCA